rnacentral:rRNA from 1 species
UACAGAGGUCUCAAGCGUUGUUCGGAUUCAUUGGGCGUAAAGGGUGCGUAGGCGGCUUGUUAAGUCAGGGGUGAAAUCCUGGAGCUCAACUCCAGAACUGCCUUUGAUACUGGGAAUCUCGAGUCCGGGAGAGGUGAGUGGAACUGCGAGUGUAGAGGUGAAAUUCGUAGAUAUUCGCAAGAACACCAGUGGCGAAGGCGGCUCACUGGCCCGGUACUGACGCUGAGGUGCGAAGGCGUGGGGAGCAAACAGG